GUCACUUGGUUUUUCAAACCUUUUCCCAGAUACCAUCUUCAUUUGGGUUUUUCUACAGUUCUGACCCAAAACGUCCUGGAAAAUUUAUUUCUAAUGUUUACAGUUCUUCAGGUGUUUUCUUUGAUGCAGAGACCUCAUGUCCUGUGAGUCUGAACUGAUAUGCUGUGAAAUAGUGUAUGGAAAAAGCUGGGCUUAAGAAGAGAGCACAAAGCCAGCGUUGUCUGCUGCCACACGCUGUCCAGAGAAAAAUAACUGCAAGAGAGAGGCCAGUGAGAUGUACAGAGGGAAACUCUAAGAGGCUGAUUUGGAAGGUGAUGGUUAGGAGUAAAUGUUCCCAAGCCUGCUUCGUCUCUGUUGCUGCUCAAGGUGCUGCCUUGUGCUGAAUGUACCUUUACCUGGCUGAGAUGAGCUGGUAAGUCUUUCCUUUGGGAGUAUGGAGGGCUCAUGCCAUGGGAGUGCUUGCAGCAGCUGCAGCCGGCUCCUGCCUGAGCAUCUCUGCACCCAGGAGAGGCAGCUGUCACACAGCUGGAGUAUUAUGGUACGUGGCCUUCAUACCUGAACCCAGUACCCAGCAGAGUGGGUCCUGCUGUGCACAGUUUGAGCUGUGCAGGUCCUGGUCACUCAGUGACUUGAGAAAUGUCCCCACCCCAACACUGGUGCCUAAGGAAUGCACACAAUGCUAGACAACGCUGUCCAAAGUACAGGCAGAAUGUGACAAGCACCAGACCCUCCUGUGCGCUUGUGUCCAUCCCUACAUGUCCUAGUGGUGAUGCCUCUGCCACCCAUCUGUGAGGAACUUUCUCAUCCUUGGGUUACUCUGUGGUGUGACUGGCAUGGAGUGCUCUGCCCCGUUAACGCAGCUGGACACUUAGGAAAGGAGAGACGCUUACAGACUUAGCCACUGUCUCUGCAUGCUUUUUGCAGUGUUUCUAGCUCUCCGUUGCAAGAGCAAAUCAAACGAGGCCUUAAUCUGAAUGAUCUACCACCUACUGAGAUGGAGAAAUCCUGGACUGAAACUCGGAAGUCCAUGUUGGGGAACACCACUACAUUCCUGCAGUGCUUUGGAUGCCUCUGCAGCAGGAUAGCUUACAAACCCUGUAAUCCAUUAACACUGACUGCUUUAAUACUGUACAAAAGUUACCUUGAGUUUAUUAGCUAGAAGAAUAAUGCAAUGAUUUAGAGUGUUCUGCUUUUACAGAUGAUCCUUAAAAUGACAUUGAAAACAUGAGGGGAACAAAGCCCUUCUUAAAGUUGAAUUCAAUAAGUUUUUAUAAAGGAGAACUAAAUUUAUAUCACCUGCUGAGACAUGAGAAAUUCUCAGCCCUUUGAUUUGUUACUUAGCUUUCUUUAUCUUUUCUGAUAAUAUUCAGAUUUCUAUAUGAGUUUCAGAUGUGGCUAUUGCACAGGCAUUAUUUUAAAAUACUAUUAAUCAUACUGAAACAACAUCAGAGGAGCCUGCAUUGUGCUACAAACACAAACUGGCAUUGACAGGCAUCUUACUGAAGAUUUCUAUUGCUUUUCAUCUACUUUCAUUUAAAAAAUGGGAAAACAAAAGGAAAACUCUGGUCUUUUAAAACAGUUGU